UCGCUCAUCUCUAUUUGGAAGUUACCAUUAAAGAAGAAGAAUGAAACAGAAGGUCCAAUUCAGCAUGGAUCUAGUAGGCUGGAGCCUGGUCCGAGCAGUCUACAAACUGAGACGAUCUGGUCUAUGGAGGUGUUCUUGUUUACAUCACCUGGCUUUACAUCACCACCUCGUGAGGUGGCCUAGCAACCCGCUAGCAACAUGCACAGCUGCAAUAAGCUAACAAGCUAACUAAACCGAAAUUGAGCCAGAACCUUUCCUUUUUUGUUUUACCAUAUAUUAAAGUGAUUGAUAUUUCAGGCUGAGAGGACAAUGGCCAGUUAAAUAUGGCUGAUUAAGCUGUGUACUUCUAGCCAACAGUUAUGUUAGCUUUAGUUAGUUAACAACAGUAAGUAGCCUAAAUAUAGGAGUAACCAAUGUACUCCAGCCUGAUCCAAAUAAGGCUAACCUACGUCUGUUGCUCCCGGUCUGCACGUUUUACGUUGCUUAAGUGUGGAUCAAUUGAGACAGCGUGGUGUCCAGAGAGCUACAGAGACUUUGUGAGAAACCUCAGUGUGACGGAUGUCCUGUCUGUUGGUUCGGCUGGAGAGGACUGAGGUGGAGCGGUCUUUGCCUGGGAGGAGGACGAGGCCUGAUGGAGGACGUGACCUGAUGGAGGAGGACCAGGCCUGAUGGAGGACGUGACCUGAUGGAGGAGGACCAGGCCUGAUGAAGAAACCACCUAACUGUGAGCCCAUACUGGACACAAACAAAUGAUGGUCCUGUUUGAAUACACACUAUUCAGUGUGCAGAUCUUGUGUGUUCACAAUAAAAGUGUAGUUUCUUGUCA